rnacentral:misc_RNA from 1 species
AGGUCGUAACAAGGUAUCCGUAGGUGAACCUGCGGAUGGAUCAUUACCAAUUUAUAUAUAUGUUAGUUUGUAUACCGCUGUCAAAGGGGGUUAUACACAACUACUAUGUAAACGUUGAACUAGAUCAAUUGGUGUGGAUUGCUUGGGAAUGGACGAAGCGAUGAGCCUCUUCCGGACAGGCAAGCCCCACACUGAUAACCUUUUUCAUAUCAUUUACUCGUAUAUACUACCACAACAACAAAAACAAAAGCUAUAAUAGGACUUAUUAACGGCUGAGUGGGUAACAUCCUCGGCUUAAACAUAUAACUAUUACAACUUUCAGCAAUGGAUCUCUAGGCUCUC